UGAGCAAUCUGCCCUUCUCUUCGGAAUAAGCGUUGGAAACGACGUCUAAUGCCGAAUACGACCUCCUUUCGCAUGAUCGGAGGUGGAAAGCUCCGGCGGAGAAGGAUGAGCUCGCGGCCUAUCAGCUAGUUGGUGUGGGUAACGCCCACCAAGGCGACGACGGGUAGCCGGCCUGAGAGGGUGACCGGCCACACUGAGACUGAGACACGGCCCAGACCUCCGUACGGGAGGNAGCG
rnacentral:rRNA from 1 species